rnacentral:rRNA from 1 species
GCCAUGCCGCGUGCAGGAUGAAGGCCUUCGGGUUGUAAACUGCUUUUGUACGGAACGAAACGGCCUUUUCUAAUAAAGAGGGCUAAUGACGGUACCGUAAGAAUAAGCACCGGCUAACUACGUGCCAGCAGCCGCGGUAAUACGUAGGGUGCAAGCGUUAAUCGGAAUUACUGGGCGUAAAGCGUGCGCAGGCGGUUAUGUAAGACAGUUGUGAAAUCCCCGGGCUCAACCUGGGAACUGCAUCUGUGACUGCAUAGCUAGAGUACGGUAGAGGGGGAUGGAAUUCCGCGUGUAGCAGUGAAAUGCGUAGAUAUGCGGAGGAACACCGAUGGCGAAGGCAAUCCCCUGGACCUGUACUGACGCUCAUGCACGAAAGCGUGGGGAGCAAACAGGAUUAGAUACCCUGGUAGUCCACGCCCUAAACGAUGUCAACUGGUUGUUGGGUCUUCACUGACUCAGUAACGAAGCUAACGCGUGAAGU